UACGAAGGGUGCAAGCGUUACUCGGAAUUACUGGGCGUAAAGCGUGCGUAGGUGGUGAGUUAAGUCUGUCGUGAAAGCCCCGGGCUCAACCUGGGAAUGGCGAUGGAUACUGGCUCGCUAGAGUGCGGUAGAGGAGAGUGGAAUUCCCGGUGUAGCAGUGAAAUGCGUAGAGAUCGGGAAGAACAUCGGUGGCGAAGGCGGCCUGCUGGGCCGUUGCUGACGCUGAGGCGCGACAGCGUGGGGAGCAAACAGG
rnacentral:rRNA from 1 species